rnacentral:rRNA from 1 species
GACGAACGCUGGCGGCGUGCCUAAUACAUGCAAGUAGAACGCACAGUUUAUACCGUAGCUUGCUACACCAUAAACUGUGAGUUGCGAACGGGUGAGUAACGCGUAGGUAACCUGCCUGGUAGCGGGGGAUAACUAUUGGAAACGAUAGCUAAUACCGCAUAAUAUUAAUUAUUGCAUGAUAAUUGAUUGAAAGAUGCAAUUGCAUCACUACCAGAUGGACCUGCGUUGUAUUAGCUAGUAGGUGAGGUAACGGCUCACCUAGGCGACGAUACAUAGCCGACCUGAGAGGGUGAUCGGCCACACUGGGACUGAGACACGGCCCAGACUCCUACGGGAGGCAGCAGUAGGGAAUCUUCGGCAAUGGACGAAAGUCUGACCGAGCAACGCCGCGGGAGUGAAGAAGGUUGUCGGAUCGUAAAGCUCUGUUGUAAGAGAAGAACGGGUGUGAGAGUGGAAAGUUCACACUGUGACGGUAUCUUACCAGAAAGGGACGGCUAACUACGUG